rnacentral:rRNA from 1 species
CCUACGGGUGGCAGCAGUGAGGAAUAUUGGUCAAUGGGCGCGAGCCUGAACCAGCGAAGUAGCGUGAAGGAUGACUGCUCUACGGGUUGUAAACUUCUUUUAUAAAGGAAUAAAGUGAGGCACGUGUGUCUUUUUCUAUGUAUUUCAUGAAUAAGGAUGGGCUAACUCCGUGCCAGCAGCCGCGGUAAUACGGAGGUUCCGAGCGUUAUCCGGAUUUAUUGGGUUUAAAGGGAGCGUAGAUGGUUUGUUAAGUCAGUUGUGAAAGUUUGCGGCCCAACCGUAAAAUUGCAAUUGAUACUGGCAGCCUGGAGUACAGUUGAGGUAGGCGGAAUUCGUGGUGUAGCGGUGAAAUGCGUAGAUAUCACGAAGAACUCCGAUUGCGAAGGCAGCCUACUAAACUGCCACUGACAUUGAUGCUCGAAAGUGUGGGUAUCAAACAGGAUUAGAUACCCGGGUAGUC